UUUCAAAAACUGUAAUUUUCUUCAUGGAUCCGUAGGUUCUAAUCAUACCACACGCGCAUAAAUUUUCGUAGCAGCAAAAGAUAAAUUUUUCAGUGAAACAUUAAACAUUUUUUAUUUUACAAUGUGAAAUUGCCGAAUGAAAUAAUAAUUGAGUAUUUGGCAAAGCUGAAGAAGAAACGGAAAAAUGCUUGCUCUGGAAUCGAUAAUUCCGAUAUUGGCCGAGACUCUUCACUUCCAUACAACCAAGUUGGUCCCUGCCACCAUUGACUCUGCAGAAGGUCCGACCAGUCACAAGUUCGGGUAGGUAAGUCUGCUGGGUUGACGUCUCCAGGAACAUGUCUCCAAUCAUCUAUAUUGGUCAGUUUGCUGAUGUCUUUCCCUCGAUUUCCAAUGAAGGAUCUUCUCCUUAGAUUAGUACUUUCGAGAACAUUCCAGCCUAUUACGUAACCGCUUCUAUAAAUAGAGAACUCGCGCCAUUUUGCGACAGAGACCUCCCUUUGCUGCUAAGAUCUGUGCUGCUGCUCUUCUGCCUUUCUUUGUUAGAAUACUAUGACGCAGUGAAAUUAAUUUAUUUAGUAGAGAUCGAUGAUAUGCCUUU